UCCAGCAAAGGUCAGUAUCCACAA
rnacentral:rRNA from 1 species